UGGGGAAUAUUGCACAAUGGGCGAAAGCCUGAUGCAGCGACGCCGCGUGAGGGAUGACGGCCUUCGGGUUGUAAACCUCUUUCAGUAGGGACGAAGCGCAAGUGACGGUACCUGCAGAAGAAGCACCGGCUAACUACGUGCCAGCAGCCGCGGUAAUACGUAGGGUGCGAGCGUUGUCCGGAAUUACUGGGCGUAAAGAGCUCGUAGGCGGUUUGUCACGUCGUCUGUGAAAUCCUAGGGCUUAACCCUGGACGUGCAGGCGAUACGGGCUGACUUGAGUACUACAGGGGAGACUGGAAUUUCUGGUGUAGCGGUGGAAUGCACAGAUAUCAGGAAGAACACCGAUGGCGAAGGCAGGUCUCUGGGUAGUAACUGACGCUGAGGAGCGAAAGCAUGGGUAGCGAACAGG
rnacentral:rRNA from 2 species